ACCCACCACUGCCAAUCUACCCGCCGCUGCCAAUCUACCUACCGCUGCCAACCUAUCUAUCACUGCUAAUCUAUCGCUGCUAAUCUAUCGCUGCUAAUCUAUCACCGCCAACCUACCUACCGCUGCCAACCUACCUACCGCUGCCAACCUACCUACCGCUGCCAACCUAUCUAUCACUGCUAAUCUAUCGCUGCUAAUCUAUCGCUGCUAAUCUAUCGCUGCUAAUCUAUCGCUGCUAAUCUAUCGCUGCUAAUCUAUCGCUGCUAAUCUAUCACUGCUAAUCUAUCGCUGCCAACCUAUAUAGGGUAAAUCAUGGUCCCAUUUGGUCCCAUUUUGUAAAAUGGGACCAAAUGGGACUGGGACCACUAAUUUAUUAGUAAAACAUGAUCUGGGACUAGAUUUAUAAUAUAAACAGUGUAAAGUGACUAAUUUACUAAACACUAUAUGGAACCAGGACUAAGAUAUCUAAUAAUGGGACUGAGGAAAAAUUU
rnacentral:sRNA from 2 species